CCUAUACAUGCCAUAUACCAUAUAUACAAAACUUCAAAAGUACCAACAAGUUGAUCGAUAGUGUGACGAUGUUCCUGAUGAUCCCCAAAUCCGAGCUAGCUUCGAUUAUCUAUAAAACAAGGAAAGAACACACAAAGUAAAUUUUAAAAGCUUAGUAAGCCAUAUACAAAUAAAUUAUCACAUGAAUCAAUAUCAUUUCCAGCAAUAGGCAACUAUGAGUAAACAUUUAUAAGAUCACCAACCCUUCUCAUUGUACACAUAUUCAAUAUCAUAAUUGAAUUCAUCAAAUACUUCCCUUUCAUUACUUGUAUGAAUCUCGUAUGUACUUGAGCCAUUUAACUCAUUCACACAUUUUUUAUCGACUUGAUUUUUCCCGUUGAACCAUUCAGAAUCGUUAAGGAUACUCGAAAAUCACAUAAAGCUCAUACAAUGCCAUAUCCCAAAUAUGGUCUUACAUGUUAUCACAUAUCGAUGCCAUUGUCCCAGACAGGGUCUUACACGAAAUCAUAUAAUGAUCCCAAUGUCCCAGACAUGGUCUUACAUGUAAUCACAAUACAAUUCCAAUGUCCCAGACAUGGUCUUACAUGUAGUCACAUCUUGAUAGCCUAAUGUAUGACAUUCAUAUCCUAUAUUAGUCCUAAGGUUCGUACGAGACUUUUGGAUAUCGUACUUUUGUCGAUUCUUGCUUGUAUUUGCUCGUUCAACAUUCAUAGCAAUUUAAUGAUAAUGAAACAUAUAUAAUUCAAUUCAAAGACAUUUAUUUGCAUAUGAACUUACCUCGAUCGUAGAAACAACAAAACUAGCUGAUUAAUCAAGUACUUUGUUCUUGCCUCGAUCUAAGCCCGAUUUCUUUCGUUCUUGAUCUAUAUACAUUCAAAAUUAACUCAUUUAUUUAUUUAUUCAUUCAAUUUAAUCCACAAACACAUAUUUGAGCAUUUUUACACUUUAGCCCCUAAAGUUCCACAUUUAUUCAAUUUAGUCCCUAUUUCAUAAAUACACAAAAUUCACAAAAUUCAAUAAGACCCAUGCUUGGCCGAAUUACCCUUAUGCCCUUAAUAGCUCAUAUCUUUCAUUUAUUCACACUUUUAACCCCACAUUUUUAUCUUUUCACAAAUUAAUCCCUAAUUUGUAUUUUCUCUAAAAAUUACUUAACAAAACAUAUUAAUCUAUCAUUUAUAUUCCAUUUUUCAUCAUUAACCAUCACAAAACACAUAGAUUCAACAAUUGUACUUCAUAAAUUCAUCAACAAAUUCAAAAAUUAAGGUACAGGCUAGCUAGUACUCAAAGAAACAAUUACAAAAACGUAAAAAUCAUCAAAAACCCAGCAAAGAACAUACCUUAAUCAAGGAAUAUGCUAGCUGAAUAUCAAAGCCCUAAAAUGUCUUCUUCUUCUCUAUUUUCGGUUCAAAAAGAAAGAAAGAUGGACAAAAUUUAUGUUUUGGUGUAUUUUAAUUAACCUAUUUAACAAUUACCAAAUUAACCUUGACAUUAAACCAUUAAUUAACAUUCAUUUAAUGGUCAUUUAUGUCAAAUUCCACUAUCAAUGGUCUAAUAACAUCAUAAGAACAUUUGGUUUAAUAAACCAUAUCAAAUAGACACUAUUAACUUAUAACAUGCUACUUUUGCAUUUUAAGCGAUUUAGUCCUUUCAUCAAAUUAAGCACUCAAACAUUAAAAUUAUUUCACGAAAUUUUCAUACAUAUAUAAUCACAUGUUAUAAACACCAAAAAUAAUAUUAAAAAUAAUUUUCUGACCUCAGAUUUGUAGUUCUGAAAUCUCUGUUCUGAUUUAGCUAAAAUCGGGCUGUUACACCCGGCUUAUGCACACCUCUACCCACAAGCAUGAAGGCAACAUAUAUCAUACUAAAUCAAAAUUCGAAAUACCAAAUAUCUCUAAAACUUGAAAUUCACCAAACCUUGAAUAUCCAUAUAGUUCGUUAUACAACUUAAUGAAAGAUGCACAAUAUUAUUAACUAACAACUCAACUAAAUUUGUCAUUAUAUUAUUCACUUUCAGAUUGCCUAGAUGAUAAUAUAUUUGAUUGGAUUUAAAUUGUGAUAAUCUUAUAUUCAUUUAUGAAUAACUUCACUUGUAGUGUUCAUAAUAUGAUUUAGUUCCAUACUCCCGAACUCAAGGAUUUGGAACAUAACAACACAUAUACUCAUGAGACAAAUCCCAUGAGCAUACAAAGCAACAUAUACUAUACUAAAUUAAAAUCUAAAAUAUCAAACGAGUCCAAAAUUUCAAAUUUACAUAACUUUGAAGAUUCAUACAAGUCGUAAUUUAACUUAACUGAGAUACACAAUAUUUGUAACACCCCUAACUUGAACUUGUCGCCUACGGAGUAUUACUGGAGUUUACAGAACAAAUAGAUAGAAAUUUCAAGCAUUUCAUAUCAUAUAAUAUUCAUAUCAUAAACCAACCGAAAACAAACAUAUUUUCCCUUAUAUAAGCCUUCGAGGCCCAAAAUAUGCAUUAAAAACAAGUUAGGACUAAAUUAAAUACUCAAAAAAAUUUGAAAAACAUUGAAAAUUUUCAAAGCUAUAAGGGACACAGGGCUGUGUGGCCUGGCCGUGUGGGCAUUCGAAAUAGGGACACACGACUGUGUCCCAGCCCGUGUCUGUACCCGUGUAACUCUCUGACUUGGGUCACAUGGCCAAGUCAUACGCCCGUGUCCUAGGCCGUAUUAAGUAUAC
rnacentral:lncRNA from 1 species